AGGUAUUUCAAUAAUACAGAAAGAAUUUACCCCUAGGGAUUUAUCAGACACUACCACGACCCGGGAUGUGUCAAGAAGCAAAGAAUAUGAGGCUAUGUUUUCCUACGAUGAAGAUUCCUUGAGGAAGUGGGGCCUGGUGAGCGCAUUCAUUUUAUUUCUCCUUGGAAUCCUGGUCUUGCUCGGUGAGAGAUGCAGUCAAUGUUCUUGUAGAAGAAAACAAAGGCGGAAAUAUCAAGUAGCAUGAAUAAACAUCUGGACAUCAAUGGCAGAAGACAUUAACUCAAGCAGGAACUCCAUGUCAUGGAUAUUUAUCCUUAUAUUACAAACAGCAUUGUGUGAAAAUCUUCAGUCUGUCCCAGAUG